UCAGACGAUGCGUCAUGCAUAUCAAUAAGCGGAGGAAAAGAAACUAACAAGGAUUCCCCUAGUAACGGCGAGUGAAGCGGGAAGAGCUCAAAUUUGAAAUCUUAAAGGGUUUCCCUUUACGAAUUGUAGUUUAAAGAAGUGUUUUCUGUUGAGGUUUUGGUAAAAGUUCUUUGGAAUAGGACAUCAUAGAGGGUGAGAAUCCCGUAUUUGACCUUUACUUUCAACUUUGUGAUACACUUUCAAAGAGUCGGAUUGUUUGGGAAUGCAGUCCAAAAUGGGUGGUAAAUUUCAUCUAAAGCUAAAUAUUGGCGAGAGACCGAUAGCGAACAAGUACCGUGAGGGAAAGAUGAAAAGAACUUUGAAAAGAGAGUUAAACAGUACGUGAAAUUGUCAAAAGGGAAGCGUUUGACACCAGUGUUGUUUUUCUGAAAAUCAAUUAAAGAACUGUUUAUGCUAAGUUGUUUAGACUUUAUCAGCUAUCUGUUUAGUUUUGAGCUUUUCUUUAAUGCACUUUUCAGUUAACAAGUCAACAUCAAUUUCUUUUGCUGUAAAAAAGCUUGAGGAAGGUGGCUUGAGAUUCGUCUUAAGUGUUUAUAGCCUCUUGCCUAUGCAGUCGGAGAGAUUGAGGUCUGCAGCGUAGAUCCUUCGGGGCUAAAUGCAUUUGUGCUAAGUUAUAGCAUUUUAUAGACAACUUGUUGACUAUGAUUUGUCUUGUAGCUUACUCGCUUAUGUUAUUUUACCUACGCUUAGGAUGUUGAACUACUGAGACAUAGA
rnacentral:rRNA from 1 species